rnacentral:rRNA from 1 species
AUGGCCAGAGCACCGCUGCUGCUUCUUCUUCCUCUUCUCGCGGCGCUGUGCCUCGCGUCCUUGGCCCCCGGCGCCAAUGCGGCGGGGAGGAAGAUGGUCGGCGUCUACGAGCUCAGGAAGGGAGAUUUCUCUGCCAAGGUGACCAACUGGGGCGCCACCGUCACGUCCGUCGUCUUUCCGGAUUCCAAAGGGAAUUUGGGCGAUGUCGUCCUUGGCUAUGACACCAUCGCUGAAUAUGUUAACGGAUCCAGUUACUUUGGAGCGCUUGUUGGACGAGUAGCCAACAGGGUUGCCAAGGCGCGCUUCGUGCUCGAUGGAAAAGUCUACCACCUAUAUGCCAACGAUGGCAAGAACGCACUUCAUGGUGGCCAUAGGGGCUUCAGCAAAGUUAUAUGGACGGUGAAGGAAUAUGUUAGUGGGGGUGACUCCCCACACAUCACACUGUACUACCAUAGCUUCGACGGAGAACAAGGUUUCCCCGGGGCCCUGGACGUGUACGUGACGUACGAGCUGUCGAGCCCGUACGUGCUGAGCGUGCGCAUGAACGCGACGGCGCUGGACAAGGCCACCCCGGUGAACCUGGCGCAGCACACGUACUGGAACCUGGGCGGCCAGGGCAGCGGCGACGUCCUGGGCAACACGGUCCAGCUGUUCGCGUCCCAGUACACGCCCGUGGACGCCACGCUCAUCCCGACGGGGCAGCUGGCGCCCGUGGCCGGCACGCCCUACGACCUCCGGGCGCCCACCGCCGUGCGCGAGCACCUCCGCCAGGUCGUGGGCGGCAGCAGCAACGGCAGCACCAUCUACGGCUACGACAUCAACUACGUGGUCGACGGGGACGCGCGCGCGCUGCGCAAGGUGGCGGCCGUCCGGGACGGCGCGUCCGGGCGCGCGCUGGAGCUGUGGGCGGACCAGCCCGGCGUGCAGUUCUACACCGGCAACUUCCUCCAGGACGUCAAGGGGAAGGGCGGCAGGGUGUACGGGCAGUACGGCGCGCUGUGCCUCGAGACGCAGGGGUUCCCCGACGCCGUGAACCACCCCGACUUCCCGUCGCAGAUUGUGAGGCCUGGCCAGGCGGCGUACAAGCAUGACAUGGUGUUCAAGUUCUCCUUCUAG